AAUUGAGAAAAAUGGAAAAAAGAGGGCAAAACGGGAAGAAAUCCCGGAGGGGAAGCAGAGCCGCCUGCGCGGAUGCUGCACACUAUGUGCUCAUGCAUGUAUGCAAAGCAGACGUGGGAUGUGCGCACUGCCAUAUGUCCCAUCCACACGCACGUGCGCAUGGGACGUGCACACACUGUGUAAGUCCUGUCCGCGCACACGGCGAGGGGACAGGUCCUGCGCGAGUCUUGUGGCGCACAG
rnacentral:lncRNA from 1 species